GAAACAGUCAGAGUCAGCGGUCAAGAGAGAGAUAAUAAUAAUAAUUUAAAUUAUUAACCAAAAGACCAGGAAAUGCUGUCUGUUUAAAAAGGCUAAACUCAGUGUUUAAGCUGAGUUUCAAUAUAAUUUAGGGAAGAAAGAACACAAAAGCUGAAUGCUGACUAAAGAAAAAGAUUUAGGUGAAGUGUCAAUGACCUGCUAUGACAGAAAUACUGCAGACAUGAAGUAAAGCGAGCGCUGGGAUGAGGGGAAAAAAAGAGGAAAAACCUCAGCAGACAGUACAAGCUGAUUCAGAGUUAUAAAAGAGGAAGAAAAACAUCAAUAUCAGCCAUCCAUGACACACGAGAGCAGCACAAACACAUUUCUCUGCUUUGAAUUUUCCAUCAGAAACCAGUUUCAGCAGUCACACUUCUCACUUCUUGACUGUCGUGAUCUGAACUCAGAAAGAGGAACAUGAACAUUUCAGGUUCAUUUUGAAAUGACAAACUACUUUCAGAAUAACGUCAUUAAUGGCUAUGUGACAGCACAAAAUUGUGUUGUAAUAGACAAAACGAGUCUCCAAAGGGUGACUCGUGACAAACUCAUAACAACCAGAAGGUCUCACUGCAGAAUGCAGAUAACACUAUCUGACAUCAAAAGCCAUGACUUCAGCAGUGUAGCAGAACAGCGGCUUCAAAACAACAGACAUCCCCGAUCUACACUGGACCUACGGCAUCUGAAAGGUGCUUUCAGGAAAGUGAUUUCCUAGAAUCACUGAACAGAUGGUUAAAGAAGUGCCUUGUGUUGAAAUAGUAGUUUUGUUUGUUUUAAAAUCAGUCAUUAUUACAUGUGAUCUGCGUUAUGAUCUGAAACCAGUCGAUUCAUGACAAACGACACAUUAAUUUAUGACCCCCCCCCCCCCCCCCAAAAAAAAAUGUCUUUGUUCAAACAGGUCAUAUAAUUUAAGAGUAAACCAGUCUUUUUUCUUUUUAUCUUUUCACAUGUAAGCUCUGAAUGGGUUCUCUGUCAUUAGGAGUAACCCUGAGCUUUACUACAAAGUAAAGUACCAGUAAAAAAAAUGUGCAGCUAUUCAACUCGUUCAAUCAUGCGUAGCGAAAUCAGAAUAAAGCUUUUCUUUAAAGUAAGAUUAUGUUGCGUCACACACUGACUCUCUUUUCUAAUCUUUCUCAGGAGGUAAGUCAGGGCAUUUUUCUUUCAUUUCUGCUUAAUUUUAAGUUGUUAAUUAUAUCUGGUUGAAAAUGAAUGAUUUUGUUCUUAAAAAAAGCUAUGUAUUUUAGCUUAUAGACACCAGCUCAAGUUCCACUGGCUGAAACCACCAGCCCACACCUUACCAAGUACGCCAAGUUGGAGUCGAUAAGAUUUUUUUUAAUGUUUAAGUCUCUAAUGCUCUUCAAAGUUAUAUUUAUUAAACCAAACAGGCUAUACAGUAAUAUUGUGAAAUAAUAUUUUAAAAACUGUGAUGUGAGGACAAAACUAAAUUCAGCAGACAUUCCUCCAGUCUUCAGUGUCACAUGAUCCUUCACAACUCAUUAUUUUAUGCUGAUUCUUAUUAUCUAUAUUGAAAAAUUAUAUGCUGCUUGAUAUUUUUGUGGAAGUCAUGUUUUUCAAACCUCUUUGAUGAAUAGAAAGAAAAUUUGUCUGAAAGAGCAAUCUUUUGUCAUAAUGUAAAAUAAAUCUGACUGACCAUAAACUUUUGAAUGGUAGUGUACAUGACUACAGUACAUUCUUUACAGAUUUUCUUACAACUAUUCUUUGGAAUCCAGUUUGAAUAUUAGUAUGAAUUAUUUAAAAAAUAAUUACAGAAAACAAACUACUGCAGCAACCUCCAAACACAACUGCUGUGUUCAGCAACCUUGAGAAGAGAGAUCUUUGAAGGUCCCAGUGGACAUCAAACUAGUCAAAAUGGUCAAAGCCUUGAUCCAGCAACUCCUGCCAAGGUAAGAAAAACAUUAAAUGUUUGUAUUUAUACAGUGAGAUCAUUUGUCCUUUACGGGGAAGUAGUUAACAUUACAAAAUGCCAAUAAAGCAGAUACCAGAUCCGGUCUUCUGCUUAUGAUGGUAGGAGCAACUGGAAAGGUUUUCUUUAUUUACAUAACUGACCAUGUUGUACCAAAGUCCUUACACUGCAGAAAGGCAGAUUUGAAUGAAUUAAGUGCAAACAUUAUUUCACAGCAAGGAAUGAAUACAUUAUGUCAAAGCCUGUAUUUUAACCUGAGCUAAAGGGAAGUUUCACCUGUCAAAAGAGAUGAAACGCUCUUAAGAAAAACUGCCUCAGAGCUACAUACUGCUUCACAUGUAUAUAGGAGCUCCUGAAACAUGCCACCCACUCCACGCCCAACUCAAAAACACACACAGAUCACCCGAGGGCUUGAAAAAGGGCUUUUGUCUAAAGAACAUGUGAGAUGUUUGAGUGCCAGAUAUGACUUGCUGAAUAUUAAAGGUGAAAUAGUUUAUCGUGAAGGUCAGUUAUAAGGCUCUGGAUCAACUGUCAAUACAGGGCUAAACAUUUCCAGCGAUGUUAACACCCACCGAUGUAUCCCAGGUUAAAGGAAUACCUUACACCGAACACUGAAUACUACACUUGGUUAAAAAUACUGAGGGUGGAGGUCAGAUUUCCAAGGAGAAGCGACGGAGACCCUCCCCCACAGCCACACAUACAGCUCACACCACAACACCACAACACCACAGCCCCUGCAUUUAACAUGCGAUGCGAAUCAACAACCUUCCCCGUUACAUUACAUUAAACAAGAGGGAUGCACUCCUCCGGCAUCGUGCAACGGAAGCAUUUCAUUCAUACACACAGACAACAACUCUGCUGAGUACAGACAUCCUCCAACCCCAACCCCAACACUCAUCAUGUGAGCUGCAGCUGUACAGAUCCAUUCAGCAUUGGGGGAGGUCAAUGGGAGAAGGGCCUCAGUCAGGAACAUGACCAAGAACCUGAUGGUCACUCCAGCGUUUCUCUGUGGAGAGAGGAGAACAUUCCAAGAACAACCAUUUCUGCAGCACUCCACCAAUCAGGCCUGAACGGUAGAGUAGUCAGACCCAAACCUACACUACAGUGAAAUAUGGUGGUGGCAGUGUCAUGCUGUGGGGAUGUUUUUCAGCGGCAGGGAGUGGGAGACUGGUCAUGAUCGAGGGAAAGAUAAAAAUGCAGCAAUGUACAGAGACAUCCUUGAUAAAAACCUGCUACAGAGCACUCACGACCUCAGACUGGGGUGAAGGUUCAUCUUCCAACAGGACAAUGACUCUAAGCACAUAGCCAAGAUAACAAAGGAGUGGCUACAGGCGACUCUGUGAAUGUCCUUGAGUGGCCGAGCCAGAGCCCAGACUUGAACCCAAUUGAACAUCUCUGGAGAGAUCUGAAAAUAGCUGUGCACUAACGAUCCCCAUCCCACCUGAUGACCCUUGAGAUGUCCCGCAAAGAAGAAUGGGAGAAAUUGCCCAAGGUGUGCCAAGCUUAUAGCAUCAUACUCAAAAAGACAUGAGGCUCUAAUUUGGUGCUAAAAGUGCUUCAACAAAGUAUUGAGCAAAGGCUGUGAAUACUUAUG